rnacentral:rRNA from 1 species
UACGUAGGGUGCAAGCGUUAAUCGGAAUUACUGGGCGUAAAGCGUGCGCAGGCGGUGGCUCAAGCCAGGCGUGAAAUCCCCGGGCUUAACCUGGGAAUGGCGUUUGGGACUGGGUCGCUAGAGUGUGGCAGAGGGAGGUGGAAUUCCACGUGUAGCAGUGAAAUGCGUAGAUAUCGGGAGGAACACCUGUGGCGAAGGCAGCCCCUGGGCCAAUACU